GACUGCUCCGAGCCUGGUGGAGGAGAGUAGUCAGGGAGGCACUGAUGCCCCUUUGUGGAACCCAACCUUUCCCCUCCAAGGAGCCAUAUCACAUCUGCCUUCUUGCCCUCCACCACCCACCAACCACUUCCCAUCACCAAUUCCUAAAGACGGCUGUCCCUGCCCACCCCACGGGUGAGGGGACCGAAGAGCCCCCUGGCUCAGAGCACAGAGGCUGAACAUUAUCAACAUCAUGUAUGGAAGGGCCGGGCUCCGUGCCUGGCACAUGGCAAGUGCCUAGGAUGUGCCAGCCAUGGGUAACUACCAUAAGCACCCCCUCCCUGCCCACCCACCAUCGCCCACCACUUACAUGUGGAAAUCCUCGCCACCUGGCUGUCCUCGUGGAGGUGGGAAACUCGGCUUCUGAGUGGUGAGAGAGGCACUGCGGGGGUGGGGAGGGGUCAUGGAGUCAGGGCCACCCUGGAGCCUCACAGAGGAUGUAGGGUGGGGGACCUCCCACCCCGGGGACCCGCCCUCUCACCAGGGUUGUGGCUUCGGCAGUGGUGCAGCAUCCGCGCGGCUCUGGCCAUCAUUCUCUGCGGACAACACCGGGGCAUAAGCUCUUGCCUGAGGGAGAAACCCUGUCCUGCCCUGUGCAGCAGCAGGGAGGCCAAGCUCCCUCUGAACCAAGGAUCAGGGACUGUAAGAUCCUUGGUUAUGUGGCAUCAUGUGUACUUCGCCUCAGCACACCCAGAGGCCCAGCGGGGACCAGGCAGAGGACAGAAGGCAGAGGCCAGGAGAGAAAGGCUUAGAGAGAAGAGGGCUGGAAGGGCUCUCGUUGAAUGGUGAGACGUCUGAGGCUGGCACCCUGGCAGACCCAGUUGCAGUGGAAUAAGGCAGGGGCUAUUACACAGCCCUGAAGGCAGCCCGUAUUUGUCUGGAUGUCUUCAUUCUUCCAGUCUAAGAACUCCUAAUUCAUCUCUGCACUCCCUGAGGCAUCAGCACUUGAGAGUAAACUCCUUUGAAUCCCUUGAGCCCCACGAGGUGGAUUUUCUCU
rnacentral:lncRNA from 1 species